GUUCCUCUCUGUCCAUGGGGAUGGAUAAGGCUUCUGUGAGCUUUGCAAGUCAAGUGAAACAUUUGGGAAGCACCAUGAAGCAGCUGCACAUGGGCUGGGAGGAAGCAUGGGCCCAUAUUUCUGGGGCACCUCUUAAUUCCUAUGGCUCUGAGAGAUGCUUCCAAGAUCAGUGGGUUGGCUACGGGGAUUGCCAGGAUCCCACUGUGCCUCCUUAUAUGGAAGGAAGAUGAAAACUUGGAAACUAUUGGAUCUUCAGUUCCUGAAAAACUUGGCCCCUCCUCAUCUUCCUACUUACUGAAGUGACUUCCCACUUAAUAUGUGUAGGAUAAGAGAGACAGAAAACUUGUGGAGCCUCUGUACACCCACAGUCCCAGGAGCUUCCAGUGUUCACACCUUCAGGAUGGCUCUUCUGGUGGGCUUCCUGAAGACAGUGACAUUUUUUAUUUUACACAAAGAAUUUGAAAUGUGAGGUUCUCCUUCAGUUCAUAACAAAGUCAGCUAUUCUGAAAUAUCAAAGCCCUUUGUGAAUUGGAAUGACCUUUCCCUGGUUAGCUCCUGCCCUUUAGCAAUGGGUGUUGCUGGUUGCUCAAAAUUCACAUACAUGGCCAUUUUUUGCAAAAAAAAAGGCUGUGAGGGGGCAAACUUUCUCCAAAAGGUCUUUAACUUAAAAAAGUCAACCCAAGGCAUGAAAAAAGAGAACCAGUUCUGCAGGCUAUUCACCUCUUGGCCUCUUUGCUGAAAUUGCCAGCAAGCAGAGGAGCUGCGAUGAAGACUAUUCAUUUAUCUCUGAAAAUAAUGUUGAAUAUCUGUCACUGCUUUGGGAAAUGAUUGACCUGAUAAUGAUAGGUUUUAUAUCAGCAGGUCCUCGAGUGCCAUUCUCAAAGUCACUAUAUGGGGUUUGAAAAUUGACUUCUUAAUGGUGACAAUCCUGUGAAACAGAAAGGAAUUGCAUUGCAGAUGAAUUUUCUGAUGCAAUUGCAUUGACUUUUCUCUACCCAGAUUGAUGCCCAUGCACUAAGUAUGUUGCCCAGAGCAAAACUUAAGGGAAUUAUAGUUCAAUGACAUUACACAGAGCCAUAUACCUUUUAAAGUCAUGUAUUAAUUUACUCUUAAACUUUUUGUUAUGAUGGCUAAAUGGUUCUCACUUAAAAAAAGAAAAACAAAAAAAACCCACAACCCAAACAUGCUUACAGGAGAGUUAUAUUUAAAUCUAUGAGUAUAUAGUUGAGCUUUAAAAAAAAAAAUAUUUAUUUCCCUCUUGUUUUUAAGGUUUAUUAGUGUUAAAGUUUCCUUCCAGAGAAGCAUCUCACAAAGGUCAAUAGAAACUAUAGGGGAUUAAGGAUGGAAUUUUCAAAGUAAUUACUGCUGGCCUAAGUCUGAUCUCACUGGUUUCAAUGAACUACUGUUAACUUCCUUUUCCAUAGAGGUAGUCAAAUAUCAGGAGCUUUUUGGAAAUCCAGGUGGAGUGAUGUGUCAUUCAGUUGACAGUGAGAGUACAAGACCCUCAAAGUGGGUUAUCUCCCACUUUCGUUUCUGUGAAGUGUGGAUAUUAAUUUCUUAGAAACAUACAAAUGUUUCUAAACAAAACAAAUAUGCAAAUAUAGAAAGAGGAAAAAAUAGAGUGAAUGAAAUUGAAUGGUUGGGCAAAAAGGGGUUAACAAAGACAAAUAUAGAUAAAAGUAAACAAAUACAAAUCCAAUGAGAUAUUGCCUAGGAAAAUUGCUACCUAAUUUAUUUCCUCAUUAGCAUUUUUGAAACUUAACUAGGCCCAAUUUCCCAGUAAACAAGAAAAAUGAAUUGCAGAUCCCAACUCUGUUUAUGUUCAAUUUCUAUGCUUUGUUUUGUUCUCCCUGAAUUAAAGAAAAAAAUCUGUCUUGUUUGCUCUUGA